rnacentral:rRNA from 1 species
UACGUAGGGGGCUAGCGUUGUCCGGAAUCAUUGGGCGUAAAGCGCGUGUAGGCGGUCCGGUAAGUCCGCUGUGAAAGUCGGGGGCUCAACCCUCGAAUGCCGGUGGAUACUGUCGGGCUAGAGUGCAGAAGGGGCAACUGGAAUUCUCGGUGUAGCGGUGAAAUGCGUAGAUAUCUGGAGGAACACCGGUGGCGAAGGCGGCAUCCUGGACCAAUAUUGACGCUGAGGAGCGAAAGCCAGGGGAGCAAACGGG